rnacentral:ncRNA from 2 species
AUAUAACAAGGCGAUGGAGUUCGCCACAACCGUCUCUUCAGACUAAUGACUCCUACCAGAGU